rnacentral:ncRNA from 2 species
GUUUAAAACAGGACGAAACCUUGUAUAAGUUUAGAAAUAAGGUCUAAACGUUUCUACCAAGCUGCCGCAAAUAGCUUGACUACAAGGAUGAUUGAGAUUUUA